UACAGAGGGUGCGAGCGUUAAUCGGAAUUACUGGGCGUAAAGGGCGCGUAGGCGGCUAGAUAAGUUAGAUGUGAAAUCCCUGGGCUUAACCUGGGAAUGGCAUUUAAUACUGUAUGGCUAGAGUAGAGUAGAGGGAAGUGGAAUUUCCGGUGUAGCGGUGAAAUGCGUAGAUAUCGGAAAGAACAUCAGUGGCGAAGGCGGCUUUCUGGACUUAUACUGACGCUGAGGCGCGAAAGCAUGGGUAGCAAACAGG
rnacentral:rRNA from 1 species